CAAACCCCUUGUCACUUAGUUGCCAGCGAUUCGGUCGGGAACUCUAAGGAGACUGCCAGGUGAUAAACCGGAGGAAGGUGGGGAUGACGUCAAGUCAUCAUGGCCCUUAUAGGGGUGGGCAUACACACGUGCUACAAUGGUCAGGUACAGUAGGGUUGCCAAGUCGCAAGGCGGAGCUAAUCCCACAAAGCCGAUCGUAGUCCGGAUUGGGUCUGCAACUCGACCCCAUGAAGUCGGAAUCGCUAGUAAUCGCNAAUCAGANAUGUCGCGGUG
rnacentral:rRNA from 1 species